AAGUCGUAACAAGGUCUCCGUAGGUGAACCUGCGGAGGGAUCAUUACCGAGAGAGGGCGCCCGCGCGCCCGACCUCCCAACCCUCUGUCGACCGUACCGCGUUGCCUCGGGGCCGCCCUCGCGGGCGCCCCAGAGGACACCAAUCGAAACUCUGCAUCUCAUGCGUCGGAGUCAUUAUGUGAAUCAAUCAAAACUUUCAACAACGGAUCUCUUGGUUCUGGCAUCGAUGAAGAACGCAGCGAAAUGCGAUAAGUAAUGUGAAUUGCAGAAUUCAGUGAAUCAUCGAAUCUUUGAACGCACAUUGCGCCCCUGGCAUUCCGGGGGCAUGCCUGUUCGAGCGUCAUUACACACUCAAGCCUGGCUUGGCGUUUGGCGACGGGCCGGCCCGCGCCUCAAAUUCACCGGCUGGACGGGACGUACUCAGCGUUGUGCACACAAGCUCGCUGCGGGGGCGGCCGGCCGCGCCGUCAAAACACCACUCAAGGUUGACCUCGGAUCAGGUAGGGAUACCCGCUGAACUUAA
rnacentral:rRNA from 1 species